GAUGAACGCUAGCUACAGGCUUAACACAUGCAAGUCGAGGGGCAGCAUUAUCUUAGCUUGCUAAGAUAGAUGGCGACCGGCGCACGGGUGAGUAACACGUAUCCAACCUUCCGGUUACUCGGGGAUAGGCUUUCGAAAGAAAGAUUAAUACCCGAUGUUGCGUAUCUUUCUCCUGAAAGAUACGCCAAAGGAUUCCGGUAACCGAUGGGGAUGCGUUCCAUUAGGCAGUUGGCGGGGUAACGGCCCACCAAACCUUCGAUGGAUAGGGGUUCUGAGAGGAAGGUCCCCCACAUUGGAACUGAGACACGGUCCAAACUCCUACGGGAGGCAGCAGUGAGGAAUAUCGGUCAAUGGACGGAAGUCUGAACCAGCCAAGUAGCGUGAAGGAUGACUGCCCUCUGGGUUGUAAACUUCUUUUAUACGGGAAUAACAUGAGGUACGCGUACCUUAUUGCAUGUACCGUUAUGAAUAAGCAUCGGCUAACUCCGUGCCAGCAGCCGCGGUAAUACGGAGGAUGCGAGCGUUAUCCGGAUUUAUUGGGUUUAAAGGGAGCGUAGGUGGGAUAUUAAGUCAGCCGUGAAAGUUUGGGGCUCAACCUUAAAAUUGCAGUUGAUACUGGUUUCCUUGAGUACGGUACAGGUGGGCGGAAUUCGUGGUGUAGCGGUGAAAUGCUUAGAUAUCACGAGGAACUCCGAUCGCGAAGGCAGCUCACCGGGCCGGAACUGACACUGAUGCUCGAAAGUGCGGGUAUCAAACAGG
rnacentral:rRNA from 1 species